GCUCCAGCCCCCCCCGCAACCCCCAAGAGGAUGAAGUGGUUAGAAGAUGGAUGGAUGGAUGGAUGGAUGUUGUUUAAAAUGCACCAACAUGUAAUGCUGAUGUAAUGUUAAGUACUAAAAACAGUAAGCUAAUGUUGAGUUAAUGUUUCUACAAGUUGAUUUCCACAGUGUACUAAAAAUAACUGACACAGUGGCUGCUUGGAGGGAAGAAAAUCUAACAAUCAUAAGUACGCUUUGGAAAAUUGCUGACAGUAUUGUAGUUUUUAAAACGGGGGGGGGGGGGGGGGGGUGAAACCACUGAUGUUUCUUUAAAUGUAAGUAGCAGCAGAAGACGUGGUAGCUGUGUAGCCUAGUCUGCCUUCAGAAGGUACAAAAACUGUGUGAUAGAUUUAUUUUCCUGCCUGCAACUGGCGAUUAUAGCGCCACCAUCCCUACACCCAUGUUAGCGUUAGCAUUAGCAAGCAUGCCUAUGGGACAUGGAAAGAAGAGACUAUCUCAGGAAGAGACUGAGCGAUCAGUGACACACUAGAACGAGGAUUCUGUUCUGUAACCUACUGAGUGACUGAGUGUUACAGAGUCACCAGCUCUCCAUGCUUCUCUUUCUUUUGAUUCACUGGACUUGUGUUGGGCAUUUUCUCUUCGUUCAGCCUAUGGAUGAACACAAAAACUGAUGUCAGUGAUGUGGCUCAGAGUCUGGAGCUGAACCUGUGGCUGCAUGGACAUUCCUACUGAACUACAGGCACCAACCUGGCUGUUUAAAAUGCUGUUUCCAGUGUGUGUGUGUGUGUGUGUGUGUGUGUGUGUGUGUGUGUGUGUGUGUGUGUGUGUGUGUGUGUUUGUCCUGGUAAGAGUGCGUGUAUAUCCUGGUAAGAAUGCGUGUGUGCCUCAUACAUUAAUUUAUAUUUUCCUAACAGUUAUCAAUGCCAAUAUUGUCACUUCAGUAACAGAUUAAAUGUUCAACAAUAUAAUCUGAAGUCAAGGUUCACUUACUAGCUUCCUCUGGUGGUAAAAACUAUAAAGUGGACCUUGAGUUAUGAUUAUUUUGGAAGUAUUUUUCCCAAGGUCAAGAGAGAACUUUUACGCAAGUAAGCAAAAUGUUCCUGUUUCUAAAUGAAUGUAGUAAUCGCUGAGAUAGAAAUACUAACAGUAGAGAGUUUGUAGAGAAUCAACUGCUUGCAGUUUGGUCUACCUAUGGGACAUGUUUACAUUAGCAUGAUGCAUUCACUUGAGAAAAACAAAUUAAUCUCUGUUUUUGUGUUUUUAAUGAUAUUAUUUUAGAAUUCUGGGAAAAGUUUUCAUUGAGGAAAAAGUUCAGCUUUUCUUUUAAUCAAUUUUUUUUUCUCAGAUUCAUUAGAAAGAUUUUCCAAAUUCUCUUCUUGUUUUUUUUUUUUCUGAAUUUACAACAUUAUUAUCUCAGUUUCAUUAGAAAAGUUAAAAAAAAAUCUGCUUUUGUUUUUCUGAAUUAACAUUUCUAGGUCAGAUUCAUGACAAAAGUUUUUUUUUUUUAAUUCUGCUUGUUUUUCCGAAUUGACAUUUUUAUGACAAAUUCUGCUCGGUUUUUUAUUUAUUCAUUUAUUUUUUUAUUAAUACUUCUGACUUAAAUUCAGAAAAACAAGAGUGGUUUUUUUUUUUGUUUUUUUGUUUUUUUUUUAUCCAUUUAAACUAAAAUGACUGUACUCUCAAGUGAAUGCAUUAGGCUUCAAUAUGUUGCAUGAAUCCUUCCAUGGAUGUGCUUUCAGUAUUGUAAUGCAACAUUUAUGUCAAACUUAACAGCAGGUGUCAGUAGUUCUUCCAUCUUGGACAUAAAAAUAAGAUAGCUGUAAUGCUUAAAUUUUAAAGGUGUUAUCCUGUUUUUUUUUUUUUUGUUUGUUUUGACAACUAAUCCCAUGACAAGACCAAGACCAAUAAGGUGUUAACGUACGAUCAUACGAGUGAAUGCAGACAAGUGGCUCACCUGCCGAGGUCAUAUUCGUGCCUAAUGUGGGCAGUGCUGGGUGUGAUGAACACAGAAAGCUAGUUUGCUAGCUAAUUUUAGCUAGCUUGCUAAUAAAUACCACGAAAUAUGACGUUACUGGUUCCAUUUUCAAAUGUUUAAUGCUUGUGUCGGACUCACUGCCGGUCCGACAGCAUCUCUCAUGUGGGGUGGUUUGUAUUUUUCAUGGCCAUUAUCUUUCAGUAUUGGCAACAAUCAGUGUCUUCCCCACACAUACUCCAUUGCUAUUGGUUGAGGCUGCGACUUCACCAGUCAAAGUCCAUCAAAGUUAAACUCCACGCAACGCGAAGAUGCAAAUUUGCCUUGCUUCUGCAAGCAACGUUUAGUUCGCCCCUCUGCUUACACUGAAUGGAAGUAAACUGGAAGCGAAUAUUCACUAGUGUUAAUUUCACACGUGACCGUAACCUUAGCCCAUUUCAGUACUUUCUGACUUCCCUGCCCUGUCUGUUAGAAAAGGCAUAAAUUAAGGAUGCAUGAUAAUUUCGGUAUGUCAUUGGUAUUGCCAGAUAUUGGCUUUAAAAUUAACUAUCAGAAUCAGCCAACAUGCUUUUUCUUAUUUUGCACAAUGAAUGAAUGAAUAUUACAAAGCAAAGCAUCCUAUUUCAUGUCUCCAUCUGCUGGUGGAAAAACGUAGGUAUACAGAUUAUCAGCCAAAUAAGUUGUUAUAUAUCGGCAUAUCAGAUAUCCGCAAAAAAUCCAAUAUCGUACAUCCCUAGCAUAAAUUUUUGGUACAUUUGUUGGGGACUAUUUUCUGCAGUGGAUGAAUACACAUUUUGUUAUCAAGAGGGCAUUUACUGCGAUAGGACGUUUUUUCUUUUUUUUUCUUUUUUCUUUUUUUGGCACAUGGGUAUACUGUGUGUGUUGGUCUUUUCAUGAGAUUUGUUAAAAUGAAAACUAUAUUAGUCUUAUCCUUUUAUGUUUUAGCAUACAGUGGAUUCAUUUGAUACGAGUGUGUGAUGUUACAAGCCAGCUGAUAAUUCCCAUAUUACAUAAAUGCAACAUGACUUCUGUCAGAUUCCAAGGGAGAAACUGGAAGAAUUAAACUCAACCUUAGCAGCAGCCAGCAGAGAUGAGUGGUAACAACUAUUUUUCGUUCUCCUGUUUAACUUAAGCUGCAUGAUAGAUUUUGCCACUGUAGAGACUUACUGCCGUCUAAAUGAACCCUUUCUGAGAAAUGGUGUAAAUAUUCUCAUUAGUGCAUGUUGACAUGUAGACUGAGAUGUAUUUAUCGUGACUCUCGCUUAUGACUUCUAGAUGGAAGAUGAGUUCUGAGGCGAUAAAGUCUUUGCAACCCCAGCUCCCUGUAGUGUGAGGGAGCCACAGUCUGUCAUGAUUUGUUUUGAAUGUCUUGAUUUCAUGUAUUUAUUAAUUUAAUGUUAAUCCAUGGCAGGCAGACAGCAGCACUGGUAUUUUCAGGUUGAUUAAGCCUGUGGAAACAUUCAUGUCUUUAAAGCAGUAACCACUAUUUCCACUUGAUGUGUUUUUAUCAUGUUUUAACCCUGUGUUCUCCUGCUGCUGUGCCCCUAAUGCCUCACCUUAAGGACUGUCCACAGUUCCAAAGCACAAUAACAGCUCCCCCCGUCUCAUCAUGGACAUGUCUGUCUACAAACUUUUCCGCAGAUGGCUCGGUCUACAGGGCAGAUUUCUGGAGGAGGAGAUGCAUUUUGGACAAUUGAGAUUUCUCCUGAGACUACUGCACAAUGCUUACUGGGUGGAUUACACACCCAAGUCAUUACAUGAACACUUCAUGUAACGAGUGGUAUUAACCCCGAGUGGAUCUGCUCAAACAGGAAAUGCUACGGACAGCGACCAGACAAAUGGAGUUUCACGUCUGUGUUGGACUGACUUCUCUGUUCUGAUAUUUAUUAUGCACAUUUCAAUAAAAACACCCAGUGUGUCAAAGGUGUCAA